GAUGAACGCUGGCGGCGUGCCUAACACAUGCAAGUCGAACGGAGAUUACGGACGGAUGUUUUCGGAUGGAAGCCUGUAAUUCUUAGUGGCGGACGGGUGAGUAACGCGUGGGCAACCUGCCCUAUACAGGGGGAUAGCAGCUGGAAACGGCUGGUAAGACCGCAUAAGUCGGUUAAAUCGCAUGAUUUGAUCGGGAAAUGAGCAAUCAGGUAUAGGAUGGGCCCGCGUCCGAUUAGCCAGUUGGCAGGGUAAAAGCCUACCAAAGCGACGAUCGGUAGCCGGUCGGAUAGGUAGGACGGCCACAUUGGGACUGAUACACGGCCCAAACUCCUCCGGGAGGCAGCAGUGGGGGAUAUUGCACAAUGGAGGGAUCUCUGAUGCAGCGACGCCGCGUAAGUGAAGAAGUAUUUCGGUAUGUAAAGCUUUAUCAGCAGGGAGGAUGAUGACGGUACCUGCCUAAGAAGCCCCGGCUAACUACGUG
rnacentral:rRNA from 1 species